rnacentral:lncRNA from 1 species
GUGUUUGACUGUUGGAGAGCACUCCUAAACUUUGGCUUUCAGAGAAUGCUGCAGAGCUUUGAUUAAAGGAGAAAGGUGUUUGACUGUUGGAGAAUGCUCCAGUGCUUUGAUUAAUGGAGAAAGGUGUUUGACUGUUGGAGAGCGCUCCUAAACUUUGGCUGUUGGAGACUGCUCCAGUGCUUUGAUUAAUGGAGAAAGGUGUUUGACUGUUGGAGAACGCUCCACAACUUUGGCCGCUGGAUAAUGAGCCAGAGCUUUGAUUGUUGGAGUAGAGUCCAAAAGUUUGACUGUUUGAGAAGAAUCCAGAGCUUUGGUUGU